UGACCAUAUUACAUUGAAACACCAGUUCUUAUACAAUCCCCAAAGUUAAGCAACAUCAAGCCUAGUUAGUACCUAGAUGGGUAACUGUUUGGGAAUACCAGAUGCUGUAAGC